rnacentral:rRNA from 1 species
UACAGGGGGUGCAAACGUUGCUCGGAAUCAUUGGGCGUAAAGCGCACGUAGGCGGUUCGUUAUGUCGGAUGUGAAAGCCCUUGGCUUAACCGAGGAAGUGCAUCCGAAACUGGCGAGCUAGAGUACGAAAGAGGAUCGCGGAAUUCCCGGUGUAGAGGUGAAAUUCGUAGAUAUCGGGAGGAACACCGGUGGCGAAGGCGGCGAUCUGGGUCGAUACUGACGCUGAGGCACGAAAGCUAGGGUAGCGAACGGG